rnacentral:rRNA from 1 species
UAAAAACCCCGACUUCGGAAGGGGUGUAUUUAUUAGAUACAAAACCAAUGCCCUUCGGGGCUCUUUGGUGAUUCAUGAUAACUAUACGAAUCGCACGGCCUUGCGCCGGCGAUGGUUCAUUCAAAUUUCUUCCCUAUCAACUUUCGAUGUUUGGGUAUUGGCCAAACAUGGUUGCAACGGGUAACGGAGGGUUAGGGCUCGACCCCGGAGAAGGAGCCUGAGAAACGGCUACUACAUCCAAGGAAGGCAGCAGGCGCGCAAAUUACCCAAUCCCGACUCGGGGAGGUAGUGACAAUAAAUACUGAUACAGGGCCCUUUCGGGCCUUGUAAUUGGAAUGAGUACAAUUUAAAUCCCUUAACGAGGAACAAUUGGAGGGCAAGUCUGGUGCCAGCAGCCGCGGUAAUUCCAGCUCCAAUAGCGUAUAUUAUAGUUGUUGUGGUUUAAAAGCCCCUAGUUGAACCUCGGGCCUGGCUGGCCGGUGGUGCCCACCGCGUGUACUGGUCCGGCUCGGACUUCCUAUCUGAGGAAUCUUGUGGUUAAAAAGCUCGUAGUUGAGCCAUGAGCCUGGCUGGCCG